rnacentral:rRNA from 1 species
UACGGAGGGUGCAAGCGUUAUCCGGAUUCACUGGGCUUAAAGGGUGCGUAGGUGGGUUGGUAAGUCAGUGGUGAAAUCUCCGAGCUUAACUUGGAAACUGCCAUUGAUACUAUCAGUCUUGAAUAUUGUGGAGGUCAGCGGAAUAUGUCAUGUAGCGGUGAAAUGCUUAGAUAUGAGAUAGAACACCAGUGGCGAAGGCGGCUGGCUGGGCAUAUAUUGACACUGAGGCACGAAAGCGUGGGGAGCAAACAGG